rnacentral:rRNA from 1 species
GUCGAGCGAACGGACGAGAAGCUUGCUUCUCUGAUGUUAGCGGCGGACGGGUGAGUAACACGUGGAUAACCUACCUAUAAGACUGGGAUAACUUCGGGAAACCGGAGCUAAUACCGGAUAAUAUUUUGAACCGCAUGGUUCAAAAGUGAAAGACGGUCUUGCUGUCACUUAUAGAUGGAUCCGCGCUGCAUUAGCUAGUUGGUAAGGUAACGGCUUACCAAGGCAACGAUGCAUAGCCGACCUGAGAGGGUGAUCGGCCACACUGGAACUGAGACACGGUCCAGACUCCUACGGGAGGCAGCAGUAGGGAAUCUUCCGCAAUGGGCGAAAGCCUGACGGAGUAACGCCGCGUGAGUGAUGAAGGUCUUCGGAUCGUAAAACUCUGUUAUUAGGGAAGAACAUAUGUGUAAGUAACUGUGCACAUCUUGACGGUACCUAAUCAGAAAGCCACGGCUAACUACGUGCCAGCAGCCGCGGUAAUACGUAGGUGGCAAGCGUUAUCCGGAAUUAUUGGGCGUAAAGCGCGCGUAGGCGGUUUUUUAAGUCUGAUGUGAAAGCCCACGGCUCAACCGUGGAGGGUCAUUGGAAACUGGAAAACUUGAGUGCAGAAGAGGAAAGUGGAAUUCCAUGUGUAGCGGUGAAAUGCGCAGAGAUAUGGAGGAACACCAGUGGCGAAGGCGACUUUCUGGUCUG